GAUAGCUCAGUUGGUAAAGCAUGAGACUCUUAAUCUCAGGGUCAUGGGUUCGAGUUGGGGCA
rnacentral:tRNA from 1 species